UGGGAGCGGCAGACGGGUGAGUAACGCGUGGGGAUCUACCCAUUGGUACGGAAUAACCCAGGGAAACUUGGACUAAUACCGUAUGUGCCCUUCGGGGGAAAGAUUUAUCGCCAAUGGAUGAACCCGCGUCGGAUUAGCUAGUUGGUGAGGUAAAGGCUCACCAAGGCGACGAUCCGUAGCUGGUCUGAGAGGAUGAUCAGCCACACUGGGACUGAGACACGGCCCAGACUCCUACGGGAGGCAGCAGUGGGGAAUAUUGGACAAUGGGCGCAAGCCUGAUCCAGCCAUGCCGCGUGAGUGAUGAAGGCCUUAGGGUUGUAAAGCUCUUUCGCCGGUGAAGAUAAUGACGGUAACCGGAGAAGAAGCCCCGGCUAACUUCGUGCCAGCAGCCGCGGUAAUACGAAGGGGGCUAGCGUUGCUCGGAAUCACUGGGCGUAAAGCGCACGUAGGCGGAUCGUUAAGUCAGGGGUGAAAUCCUGGGGCUCAACCUCAGAACUGCCCUUGAUACUGGCGAUCUCGAGUUCGAGAGAGGUUGGUGGAACUCCGAGUG
rnacentral:rRNA from 1 species